AAACAACCGUAGUGUGAAUUGCAGAAUUCCGCGAAUCAUCGAGUCUUUGAACGCAAGUUGCGCCCGAGGCUUGUCCGAGGGCAUUUCCGCUAGAGCGUCACC
rnacentral:rRNA from 1 species